GACGAACGCUGGCGGCGCGCUUAACACAUGCAAGUCGAGCGAUGAAAUUUCGACAGAUCCCUUCGGGGUGAAGAUGAAAUGGAUUAGCGGCGGACGGGUGAGUAACACGUGAGUAACCUGCCUUUGACAUUGGGAUAGCCUCGGGAAACUGGGAUUAAUACCAAAUGACACUAACUGAUCACAUGAUCAAUUAGUCAAAGAAAUUCGGUCAAAGAUGGACUCGCGGCUGAUUAGCUAAUUGGUGAGGUAACGGCCCACCAAGGCGACGAUCAGUAGCCGGCCUGAGAGGGUGAUCGGCCACAUUGGAACUGAGACACGGUCCAAACUCCUACGGGAGGCAGCAGUGGGGAAUAUUGCACAAUGGGGGAAACCCUGAUGCAGCGACGCCGCGUGAGCGAAGAAGGCCUUCGGGUCGUAAAGCUCUUUUAUGAGGGAAGAUAAUGACGGUACCUCAAGAAAAAGCCCCGGCUAACUACGUG
rnacentral:rRNA from 1 species